rnacentral:tRNA from 1 species
UGUAUUUGUAGCUCAGUGAUAGAGCGCUUGCCUCACAUGUGUGAGGCACUGGGUUCGAUCCUUAGCACCAUAUAA